rnacentral:rRNA from 1 species
AGAGUUUGAUCCUGGCUCAGAACGAACGCUGGCGGCGUGUUUAAGACAUGCAAGUCGCACGGGACUGAUUGAGUAGUAAUACAAGAUCAGUUUAGUGGCGCACGGGUGAGUAACAUGUGAAUUACAUGCCCUAUAGUGGGGAAUAGCCCAGGGAAACUUGGAUUAAUACCCCAUGGUCUCGCAAGAGUAAAGGUGGCCGCAAGGCUGUCGCUAUAGGAUUGGUUCGCAUCCUAUCAGCUUGUUGGUGAGGUAACGGCUCACCAAGGCUACGACGGGUACCUGGUCUGAGAGGACGAUCAGGCACACUGGAACUGAGACACGGUCCAGACACCUACGGGUGGCAGCAGUCGAGAAUAAUUCACAAUGGGGGCAACCCUGAUGGUGCAACGCCGCGUGGAGGAUGAAGGUCUUCGGAUUGUAAACUCCUGUCAUCCGGGAGCAAGACCUGGUCGUGAAUAGCGAACAGGGUUGAUAGUACCGGAAGAGGAAGGGACGGCUAACUUCGUGCCAGCAGCCGCGGUAAUACGAAGGUCCCGAGCGUUGUUCGGAAUCACUGGGCGUAAAGGGAGCGUAGGCG